rnacentral:rRNA from 1 species
CGGAGGGUGCAAGCGUUAUCCGGAUUCACUGGGUUUAAAGGGUGCGUAGGUGGGUCUGUAAGUCAGUGGUGAAAUCUCCGUGCUUAACAUGGAAACUGCCAUUGAUACUAUAGGUCUUGAAUUUUCUGGAGGAUAGCGGAAUAUGUCAUGUAGCGGUGAAAUGCUUAGAUAUGACAUAGAACACCAAUUGCGAAGGCAGCUAUCUACAGGGAUAUUGACACUGAGGCACGAAAGCGUGGGGAUCAAACAGGAUUAGAUACCCUGGUAGUCCACGCCCUAAACGAUGGAUACUCGACAUUUGUGAUACACAAUAAGUGUCUGAGCGAAAGCAUUAAGUAUCCCACCUGGGAAGUACGACCGCAAGGUUG